GACGAACGCUGGCGGCGUGCUUAACACAUGCAAGUCGAACGGAAAGGCCCUGCUUUUGUGGGGUGCUCGAGUGGCGAACGGGUGAGUAACACGUGAGUAACCUGCCCUUGACUUUGGGAUAACUUCAGGAAACUGGGGCUAAUACCGGAUAGGAGCUCCUGCUGCAUGGUGGGGGUUGGACAGUUUCGGCGGUUGGGGAUGGACUCGCGGCUUAUCAGCUUGUUGGUGGGGUAGUGGCUUACCAAGGCUUUGACGGGUAGCCGGCCUGAGAGGGUGACCGGCCACAAUGGGACUGAGAUACGGCCCAGACUCCUACGGGAGGCAGCAGUGGGGAAUAUUGCACAAUGGGCGGACGCCUGAUGCAGCAACGCCGCGUGCGGGAUGACGGCCUUCGGGUUGUAAACCGCUUUAGCCUGUGACGAAGCGUGAGUGACGGUAAUGGGUAAAGAAGCACCGGCUAACUACGUG
rnacentral:rRNA from 1 species